CGCGUAGGCGGCCAUCUUUGUCAGGCGUGAAAGCCCCGGGCUCAACCCGGGAAUUGCGCUUGGGACGGGGUGGCUUGAGUUCGGGAGAGGAGAGUGGAAUUCCCAGUGUAGAGGUGAAAUUCGUAGAUAUUGGGAAGAACACCGGUGGCGAAGGCGGCUCUCUGGACCGAUACCGACGCUGAGGCGCGAAAGCGUGGGGAGCAAACAGGAUUAGAUACCCUGGUAGUCCACGCUGUAAACGAUGUGUGCUAGACGUUGGGAAGCCUAGCUUCUCGGUGUCGCAGCUAACGCGGUAAGCACACCGCCUGGGGAGUACGGCCGCAAGGUUAAA
rnacentral:rRNA from 1 species